rnacentral:tRNA from 3 species
GGCAGGAUAGCUCAGGGGUAGAGCAGAGGACUCAUAAGCCUUUGGUCGGCGGUUCAAAUCCGCCUCCUGCUACCA